CAUUCCCUUCUUGGAAGACCUAAAUCGAGUCCGUCUUUAAAUCCCCGGGACACGAAGUUGGAGGAUUGGAAAUAAAAGGAAAAAAAAAUUUUGCAGAAAAUGGAAAAGCCACUUAGAAAGGCGAGUAGGGCCCUAAAUUUAGCGAAGCCAGCUCCCAGGAAAAAUGGCCUUACCAAGGAUCCUGGUACAGUUGUAACAGAGGAAGCCAGCACCGAAAAAGCAGUGAUUGCACCAGAAAAAAAUGACAAAGAAAACAGAACUGUCGGGAAGAGGGCCUUACGUUGUUUAAAGCUUGAAAAACCAGCCCCAUUGAAAUCCUCAAGGAUAAAUAGAUCUCAGGAUGGGAACAGUGGCUUGAGUGACGUAGCACCUGUUAAACCCAAAGAAGAUGUUGUUGAAAGCCAGACCAAAGUCAAAAGAGAAGAUGACAUUUCUAUGACAGACAAACCAGCUGAGAUGAAAGCAAAUUUGUUAAUCAGUGAAGCUCUAGCUGACUUGGAGGGAUCACAGCAAAAUUCUAAACCCCCAACAUCCAUGCUGCGUCAAACACGUCUACUGUCACAAGUGAGUGACGAUUCAGGUCUAGGGGAUAUGUCGUCUUCUUUCUCCAGGCAGGGAAGACCAGGUUCUUACAAAAAAGUAACCAAGAGUAUGUUAGAGAGCCUGACAGAAAACCAGGAUGAUUUGAAUUGGGAGGAUGUUGACGAUUCAGCAGUAACCACAUUUUCCUUCGGAAGUGAACAUCUCAAGUGUUUAGCUACCACUGUGAACAAGAUACAACCAUUUAACAGUCUGUUAACCAAUGACAAUAUUCAGGCGCAGAAUUUAAAUCAAAACGCCUGUUACAAGUUGAAGGAGAAGAGGGCUCGAAAAUUGUCCCAUCAAAAUGAAAACACUGUAAAUAUGAAAGCAAAUAUUUCAAGAUCGUAUAGUGUUCCGUCUAACAUUUCUACAAGUCACAGAAAAGAAUUUUGGGACGAUGAGUUGGACUUUCAAGUAAAUGUCAUGGCAAAAGUAGAAACAGCUAAAAGUUAUCAAAAUCAGGAGAUUCCCAAAUCAGAUAGAAUACGAAGCCUUAGUGCACAGAAUAGCAGAGUUGACUUAGAUGUGGACAAUGUAAGAAGACGUUACAAUACAUGCCCAGGAAACCGUUUAAAUGAAAAAGAUAUUGGUGUGAUUCUUACGGAAGGAAACCGACAUUCCGCACAAGAUGUGUUCACUUACCCUGCCAAAUCAUUCUCGGAUGACUGGGAGUCAGAGGUUGUAGUUGUAGAUGUAGAACUGUGUAAAUAUGUAGAUGAAGAAGAUGAGAUUGAGAGACCAUCGACUCCUGUAAAUAUUAAAAACCCUUGUGAAAAUGAUACAUACAGUGCAGUUAGAAAACGCAACAAUAGAUGCCUAGGAAACUGUAUAAAUGAAAAAGAUAUUGGUGUGAUUCCUAUGGAAGGAAACCAACAUUCCUCACCAGAUGUGUUCACUUAUUCCACCAAAUCAUUCUCGGAAGACUGGGAGUCAGAGGUGGAGGUGGUAGAUGUAGAACUAUGUAAAUAUGUAGAGAGUGACAUUGAGAGACCAUCCACUCCUGUAAAUGUUCAAAACCCUUGUGAAAAUGAUACCUACAGUGCAAUACAUUAUAAAGGCUCUGAUCGAGAUGCCACUCCAAAAGCUGGGUCAGUCUUACCAAAGUUCAGUAAUAACAAUUCAGCUGUGAAACUGAAACUUAACAGUUCUGAAAGCUUAAGGAAGUGCCAAAAAGAUAGUGCUGAACACCCUGAGGAAAGCCAACAGUGUGAUAGUGCUACAAUAUUAGAGAACUGUGAUAUACCAAGUGCAAUGAUGAAGAAUUCGCCGUCCUAUCAGGAUUACCGAGAUAAGAGAGACACUGAUCUUAACAGUUCUACCACUGACACUGAUGAUCAGAUCAGUUCAUGUAUCUCGGAUGAUAGCUUUAACGAGCAAAUGUACGCAUGGGAACUCAUUGAAGACUUGUCAGACAGGGUGAAUUCUUUAAAACUUGAUCAAGAAAAGUCAGAUGUUGAAACGCAGAACACUAAAAAGGAGAGUACGGAAACAUAUGAUUUAAAAGAUGAGAUUCCACCAAAAUUUGUUGCAUUACCAGAAGAUUUACAUUUGAUAGAAGCAGAAUUAGAGUACAUGAGGGAAGAUUUAGAGCUCUCUGAAAGUUUAAAAUCUGAUAAAACAAAAAGUGUUCAUUUGGUAUUAAAAAUGGCAAGGUCAGGACAUGACGAGAAAGCUGUAGUUAAGGUUAUACGUGAACCACUGAGUCCUUACAGCCCAGAGGAUGAGAUAUGGCGAGCUGAAGAAGGCAUGAUAUCCGAAUUCUGUAAAGUCAAAGAAAGGCGAGGAAUGUUUAGAUAUUACAGACAGUGCCAAAUCAAUGAUAAUGAAUCAGAAGGCUCAGCAUUAAUACAAUACUCAGCAAAAGAACUGUUGAAGUUGGGAACCAGCAUGUUGUCUAAGAAAAAACCUGACUCAUGGCCAUACCUUGAAACAAUUUACCCAAGUAUUUGUCUAGAAAAGGUGUCCAGCUACUUUGAUUGUGAGAGGUAUUCCCAAGUAAGGGACUAUGUUGCGGAGGUAUACAAUGUACAAGGAGACAAUUGGAAAAACAGUUCAAAUACUGGUGCCAGACGAAAUAAUAGUGGCCUUCCUGAUGUAAGAAGACCUCCACCUCCAUUGGUUACCAGGGGUGGUUUUGGUGCCCCUAAAGGUGGCUUUGGAGCUCCUGUUAAACCAUUUGCCAGUGAAGCAUCGUGCCAAGAUGAUCAAGAAAAGAGCUUUUUACAGCACCAGCGGUCAUCAACGCCAGUCAGAUUUGAGAAUGAUUCUGAAACAAAUGUUAUGUCUGUAUCAAAUGAAAAGCAGCCACAGGAAAGUUUCAACGAAUAUGUUGAAUUUGAAAAUAUUCAAGUGAAUUUAGAUAGAAAAUGUGACGUGAGUGUAAGAAAUGAGGGAAGUCUUAGGCUUUUUGAGGCUGCUACUAAUAAAAUACUUCCAAUAAAACCAGCAAAAGAGUUAGGCGUAAAACGUUCAAUUUCGGAUCCGGAGGGCGAUAGGCUUUCUGAUUUCAGAAGAAGUACUAGUUACAGAGUUCAUCGAAGUAAUGACGACAGUGAUUUACUUUUGAAUAAAGAUUUACCUGAGGUUUGUCCUUGGUGAAUUGUGUCAUCAAAGUUUGUUUUAUAAAAGUUUAAUUUGAGAGCAAGAGGUAAAAUGGCUUUUUGAGAUCACCUUUUUUUGUUAAAAAGGCUUAGUGCUCCAAGCAUUGUUUAUGCGCUAGAUAACCUUUUCUUGUACUGAGGUUUCAUAUUUACUUACCUGUGUUUUUUUUACUGAUGAUCCAUUUUGGUCACAGAAAGCUUAUUUCCUUAUAAUGUAGCAAUUGAAAACAGUAAAGAACUUACUUUAUGUUCAUUGCAACUGGGUCAGCAACUGUAAUGUACAGUCAGUAAUUUUGUGAUCAUACACAACUGUUCUUGUGAUCACACACAACUGUACAAGAGGAAAAAAUGUGCUAGAAACCUCUUUUGAGGUUCAAAUGUGCUUUAAUUUAGGUUAUUAUUAAAAUAUAGUGUUCUUUGUUCUUCUUUACUUACAGCCCACUUUUCUUGUUGAAGAAAAUUGAACCUACAUAAUUAUUUAAGUAAGAAUAAGAAUGUUUAGUCAGUAAACGUUACUUGUAUAUACAUGUGUAUUGAUGGAAAAGAAGAAAUUAAAUUCAAGGUUGGUAGGCAUUAGAUUUUAACUUACAAUUAUCUUCAAAGUCUGUAUUUCUCAGAUUGCCAAAAGUAAAAAUAUAAUCAGGGUCAGAGUUUGAUAAUUUUUUUGGAAAAUCUCAAGAUAAUGUAAAUCUGUCUCAUUUGUUUAAUUAAUGGCCCAUGGCUUGAUUUGGCAUGGAGCAUGAUUGUGUCAUCUUGUACGAGGCAAAAAAAUGGAAGAAAGUUAUACCUCAGUUUCACAUUGAUCAUUUGUUAUGUGAAACACAAGGAAUUAGUGGAACAUUCCUUUAAUAUUAAGUCAAACUCGUCUAUUGUUCUUACAUAUUUUUUUAAAUGUUUUUUUCUAUAUCAAGGGCAUUCUAAGAAUACAUAUUUUUUUUAUUUAUUUUUUUUUCAGUGGCAUUAUAAGCUGACCUGAGCACCCAGAAGCUCAAGGGUGAGCUAUUGUGAUCACCCUUUGUCCGUCUGUCACUUAUUUGUCAGUCAGCAAUUAUAUUGUUAACAUAUAACAGCAAUCAUUCUGGAAUUUUAUACCAAAUGUAUAUGGUCAGUUUGACAAUGGACAGGAUUGUUUCAGUCAUGCCAGAGUUACUGACCUUGAAUUGGUUGAAUUUGUCACUUCAUAUUGGAGGCCGCACUCCUUAAGCAAUUUGCGUGAUAGUUACAUAGAAUGUAUAUGGCUACAGGAUCUAUGACAGCUUGAAAAUGAGCAAGUUUGCUUUAAUAACACUAGAGUUAAGUGAAUUUAUUUACAAGUCCCUUAGAGCUUCCAACUGCGUUAAAACACUGGUAUAUGUAAUUACAUAUAAAAGCACUAGUGUCAAUAUUGUGCAUGAACUUGCACUGCCAGAGUUAUAAAGUGAGGUAAUCUUUAAUUCAUUAAUAUUUUCAACUAUGUUAACCAAGUACUCUGACUUUUGAGAAAUGUUUGAAAAAAACAACACAAUCAUCCAAAACAUGAUUUAGCAAGAAAUGAAGUUGUUUUAUUCUCAUAGUAAAAAGAUGUGACACCACAUUAUAUACAAAUUCAUUGUGACCAUUUAACUUUAUAAACACAUUAGAAGCCUCAUUUCUUGCGAAAUUUUCAAGAAAUUUACACACAAUGUAUGUAGCCACCGGAUCUAGCAUGAAUUUGAUGAUAGGCAAUAUUACUCCUGUAACAAGAGUUACUGCCCUUGAAUAAAUCAAAAUUGCUCAGAUUCACAUUGUUAACAUAGUUUGCAGCAGUCUUCAUGGACAUUACAUACGAUUUACAUGUCAAGUUUGAAGAUGGAAAAGAUUGUUUGCAUAAUAUCAGAACUCUGGCCCUUUGUUUAAAUAACUUGCUUAAGUACUUGGGUGAGUGAUGUAAGGGCAGUUUCGGCCCUCUUGUUGGUAUAUAAUUAUGUUGGUUGUAACUUGAAAAAAAAGAAGAUUAAGAAAAUACGGUCCAAUAACUUAGGUAAAUGUAACUAUUUUGCAAAAUUUAUGUAAUAAUACUCAGUCCUCUGGCCCCUUGUUCACAAAACAAUUUUGAGUUUGAAAUUUUAAUAUCAGUUUUACUAGAACUUCAGUGUUAAAUUACAAUUAAGACUGACCAUCAGUACUAAAAAGUCACUUGAAAAUAGAUAUUAACUUAAAAAUUAGUUUUAAACAUGCUAUUUAGAUAUAAAUGACAAAUAAAGUUUAUCAAACUCAGCUGAGACUGAAAAUGUUAUGUGAACACGGGGCCAGGGUACACCUUUGUAUGUGAUGAAUCCAUUAGUUUAAAAGUGUGCUUGCAUAUUAAAUUUUGAGGGUGGAUAAAAAAUUACCUGGACUUUUGCUCAAACACCUGUAAGGACAAAGUAAUGGAAUUUUUUAUGUUGGUAAAUUGAAAGAAAAAAUACCAAAACAGUGUUUCAUUUUAAAUUUACAACUGUUAACAUAUUGAUAAAUGUUGCAGAAAUCAGUCAGAUGUGAUAGCUUGUUGCCAGGUGUUUUUUUGUGAUACAAUCUUUAGGGAAAGUCCAUGUUAUUUUUAAUCCACCCAUGUAAAAGUAUCUAUGCAAUAAGAGAAUAUAUGCAUCAUUGAUAAUUUUUGUGUUCUAGUUUUAUUUUUCAAAAAUAGUCAUAGUUGAAACAAAUGUUGCUAUAUUUCAUACAUAUGUGUUCAACUUUUUGCUAAUUCUAUGUGUUCAUUUUAUGGUUGCGGCCAGAAAUGGUUUAAAAAUUACUGGGCAUUUUACUUACAGUAGUCAUAAACAUUUCCCUAUAGUAUCCCAGAUUGUAUAAUAUUGCGGUAUAUACAAAUUGUACAAUGGUGAAAUAAUAAUGACAUACACUGAUGAUUUUGCAUACCAUUAGUUGUGUGAAUGUUGAUUUAUGUCAUUUUUAUUCAAGUACAUGUAGAUGAUAUUGUCGUUAAUUUUUGUUCAUUUGAGUAUGAAAAAUAAGUCAAAAGCAGAAACCGUGGAGUUAUUCUGCCUUUUGAAUUGAUUUACAAACAGUAUGUAUAUAAACACUGACACAUUAGAACUCUAGUCUACUUAAAUCUACGCAAAGAUGAAUUAAGUAUUCAAUUUUUUUUAGCUUACCUGAGAACAAAGUGCUCAAGACGAUCUACUAUGAUUACCACUUGCAUUGUCCAUUGUCAACAGUUUAACUGUUAACAUUCUAGAGGUCACAAUUUUGGCUCAAUCUUAAUAAAAUUUGGACAGAGUGUUACCUUCAGUAGUUUCAGAGUUGCCUGAGGUUUUAAACAAGGUCAAAUCGUUGAAAUAUCUUGUAUGUCACUAUACUUAAUUAUGAAAUCUACUGUUAUAAUAUCACAGAAAUAGUCCUUCAGGUACCUAUACCAAGUAUGUUAAAGUCAUUCAACUUUGUUGAAAACAUGGCUAACAGAGUGGUUAUCAGAUUUUCAUUUAUGUAUACAGUUUUUCCUUUUAAGCAUAUUGUGGAUACUUCAAAAAUCUUCUUGCCAGAAAAUGCUGGCCCAGAUUCAAAAUAAUUUCACAGAUAAUUUUUCAUGGGCUACCCUAUAUGAAAAUUGUAAAUAACAAAAGUGUUCAAGCAGUCUGUGAGACUCUGAUCAGCAAUGUAAGAUAAUGGAACAAUAAGAAACUUCAGGAAGAUCUGUAACAUGAAGGAAACGUACACUUUUGUAUAAGUGAUUAAGUAUAAAUCCUUCAUUAAAAUUUUGGUAGUUCAAAUACAUUGCAUCUUACUCAAAAGGAUCUUACAUCAACUGUUGUCAUUUUGAAUCAGGUAUUUCUAACCCAUAAAACAAUCGAUCUUCCACGGAAGGUGUAGAACCAAGGUUUGUUUUGCAUGUGUUUGCAGUUUCCUGUUGAAAGAGUAGUGUCCCCUUAAGGUCGAAGACGAAGUGACAGCAUACUUAAUAUCUUGUCUCCUUUGAGGGACUAUCAGGUAGGGCAUUAUGUGUUUUACAAGUAGCCCUUGCUUGGCAUUUUUUAGCUCGACUAUUCAUAGAAUAGUAGAGCUAUUGGACUCGCCCAUGCGUCGGCGUCUGCGUCCGCGUCCGCAUCGGCGUCCGCGUCCCGAUUUGGUUAAGUUUUUGUAUGUAAGCUGGUAUCUCAGCAACCACUUGUGGGAAUGGAUUAAAACUUCACACACUUAUUCACUGUGAUAAACUGACUUACAUUGCACAGGUUCCAUAACUCUGUUUUGCUUUUUUUACAAAAUUAUGCCCCUUUUUUGACUUAGAAAUUUUUGGUUAAGGUUUUGUAUGUAAGCUGGUAUCUCAGUAACCACUUGUGAGAAUGGAUUGAAACUUCACAUACUUAUUUACUGUGAUAAACUGACUUACAUUGCACAGGUUCCAUAACUCUAUUUUGCUUUUUCACAAAAUUAUGCCCCUUUUUUCGACUUAGAAUUUUUUGGUUAAGGUUUUGUAUGUAAGCUGGUAUCUCAGUACUCACUAAUGGGAAUGGAUUGAAACUUCACACACUUGUUCACUGUCAUGAUCUGACAUGCACAAAGCAGGCCCCAUAACUUUAUUUUGCUUUUUUACACAAUAAUGCCCCUUUUUCAACAUAGAAAUUUUUGGUUAAGUUUUUGUAUGUAAGCUGGUAUCUCAGUAUCCACUAAUGGGAAAGGAUUGAAACUUCACAAUCUUGUUCACUGUCAUGAUAUGACAUGCAGUGCAAAGGGUCAAUAACUCAACUUUGCAUUUUACAAAAUUAUGCCCCUUUUUCAACUUAGGAGUUUUUGGGUUAAAUUCUUAUAUGUAAGCUGGUAUCUCAGUACCCACUAAUGGGAAUGGAUUGAAACUUCAUACACUUGUCCACUGUCAUGAGCUGAUAAGCACUAUGCAGGUUCCAUAACCCUAUUUUACUUUUUUACUAAAUUAUGCCCCUUUUUCGACUUUCUUAUUCAUUCAAGCGACAAGGCUGUUAAAUAGUCGAGCGUUGCUGUCCUCCGACAGCUCUUGUUAUCAGUUAUGGUUGCAUACAAUAUCUUACACAGUAGUGGUCAUUAUGGUUACCCUUUCUACUUAAUAUCUUGUCUCCUUUGAUGGACUAUCAGGUGGGUCAUUAUGUGUUUUACAAAUAGCCCUUGCUUGACAUUUUUUAUUAGUUAUGGUUGAGGCGAUCAAUAUUAACAGAUUUAUGCAAAAUUAUUUUGAUAUUUAAUAAUUGGUGAACAGGGCUUAUUUAAUUCAUUUGGACUAUGAUCUGUCAAUACACAAAAUGUAAAAACUUUGUUCAUUGAUAACUGCUUUACUCAUUACGGACCAUGAAUAUGUUUGUAUUGAUUUCCUGAAUUAACAUGUUAUUAUGUCUGCCCCAUAGAUGGGGGAGACAUAUUGUUUUUGCCUUCGCCGUCUGUCUGUACGUCUGCAUUAAGCUUGCCCGGCUUUCACAGGUCAAACUGCUGGCUGGAUUUCAACAAAAUUUCACAGGAGUGAUCAGUACCAAGCCUCGUUGUGCAUAUUGCUGGCAUGUUCUGCUUUGCUGCACAAAAUGGCCACCAGAGCUAAAGAUAGAAAAAUCUUGUCUGGCUUUCACAAGUCAAACUGCUGGACAGAUUUCGGCAAAACUUCACAGGAAUGAUCAGUACCAAACCUAGUUGUGCAUAUUGCCAACACGUUCCACUUCACUGCAUAAAAUUGCCGCCAGAGCUAAAGGUAGAAAUAUCUUGUCUGACUUUCACGGGUCAAACUGCUGGCUUGAUUUCGACGAAAUUUCACAAGAGCGGUCAGUACCAUCCCCAGUUUUGCAUAUCACUGGCACGUUCCGCUUAGCAGCACAAAAUGGCUGACAGAGCUAAAAAAAAUCUUGUCUGGCUUUCACAGGUCAAACUGCUGGACAGAUUUCGACGAAACUUCACAGAAGUGAUCAGUACCAAGCCUAGUUGUGCAUAUCCCAGGCACGUUCCGCUUCGCUGCACAAAAUGGCUGGCAGAGCUAAAGAAUACAGAGUGGGGAGACAUGUUUUUGUGACAAAAAGCUUCUAGUUCUAAAUGAACAGUAGCUGAAAAUUAUGCAAUUUAAAGGAAGAAUAUAUUGUAUGUUUUAUUUUUUUUUGUAAUUUUUUGGCAUCAUAAAAUAGCAAGCAGCUGUUUUCACAAAGAAAUGUUCGUUGAAUUACACCAAGCAGAAAUAUUAACAUAAAUUAUGAGCAAUGAAUAUUUAAAGUAAACUAUGUUGCAGAUUCUUAAAUUUAGGAAUUUAGCAUGUUGUUUUUUUUUUUCAGAAACUGAAAACCCCACAAUUUUGUUUACCAUUAUUUUACAUAUAUCUGUUUGAAACUGUACAUGAAAAUAGUGGAUACAUAGCUUCGCUUCUGCAUAUAGCGUGUGUAGAACUCAUUUUUAGCUCACCUGUCACAUAGUGACAAGGUGAGCUUUUGUGAUCACCCUUCGUCCGUCGUCAGUCCGUCCGUCCAUCCGUCCGUGCGUGCGUGCGUCAACAAUUUCUUGUCUGCACGAUAGUGGUUUCAUUAUUGAUUUUAUUUUAACCAAACUUGCACACAACUUGUAUCACCAUAAGAUCUCGGUUCCUUUCUUGAACUGGCCAGAUCCCAUUAUUAGGGGUCCAGAUUAUGGCCCCUGAAAGGGCAAAAAAUAGCUAUUUUGACCUUGUCUGCACAAUAGCAGCUUCAUUUAUGAUUUGAAUUUAAUCAAACUUGCACAAAACUUGUGUUGCCAUAAGAUCUCAGUUCCUUUGUUGAACCGGCCAGAUCCCAUUAUGGGUUCCAGAGUUAUGGCCCCUGAAAGGGCCAAAAUCAGCAAUUUUGACCUUGUCUGCACAAUAGCAGCUUUAUUUAUGAUUUGAUUUUUACCAAACUGGCACACAACUUGUAUCACCAUAAGAUCUUGGUUCCUUUCUUGAACUGGCCAGAUCCCAUUAUGGGUUCCAGAGUUAUGGCCCCUAAAAGGGCCAAAAUUAGCUAUUUUGACCUUGUCUGCACAACAGCAACUUCAUUUAUGAUUUGAUUUUAACCAAACUUGCACACAACUUGUAUCACCAUAAGAUCUUGGUUCCUAUCUUAAACUGGACAGAUUCCAUCAUGGGUUCCAGAGUUAUGGCCCCUUAAAUGUCCAAAAUUGGCUAUUUUGGCUUUUGUAGCCAUAUAGAGACUUCAUUUAUGGUUUUAUUUGAUACAAACUUCCAAAAUAUCUUCAACAACAAUAAAACUUGGAUUCCAUGACAAAUCAGAUCCAUUCGUAGUUUCCAGAGUUAUUUUAUAUCUGAUUACCUCCCCUGAUUGUAGUCAAAAUGGAUUUUUAUCAGUAAGUACUUACAGGACUUAUUUGAAAUUUCAUUAUUGUCAUUAGUUGGACCGAGCCAAUCAGGGUAGAUAACUAUGGACUGAUUUUAUGUCAAAUUACCUCCCUUUAUUUUUGAAAUUAAAAUGGGUAUAUCUCCGUAACUAAUGAAGAUACUGAUCUGAAAUUUCAUUUAUGUUAACAGAUUUAUUUGGCAGAUCCUUCUUUUGUUAACUUACAAUCAUUAUGUCUCCCCCAGGAGACAUAUUGUUUUUGCCAUCUGUCUGUCUGUCCGUCCGUCCGUCCAUCCGUACGUCACACUUCAUUUCCGAGCAAUAACUGGAGAACCAUUUGACCUAGAACCUUCAAACUUCAUAGGGUUGUAGGGCUGCUGUAGUAGACGACCCCUAUUGUUUUUGGGGUCACUCCGUCAAAGGUCAAGGUCACAGGGGCCUGAACAUUGAAAACCAUUUCCGAUCAAUAACUAGAGAACCACUUGACCCAGAAUGUUGAAACUUCAUAGAAUGAUUGGCCAUGAAGAGUAGAUGACCCCUAUUGAUUUUGGGGUCACUCCGUCAAAAGGUCAAGGUCACAGGGGCCUGAACAUUGAAAACCAUUUCCGAUCAAUAACUAGAGAACCACUUGACCCAGAAUGUUGAAACUUCAUAGGAUGAUUGGCCAUGAAGAGUAGAUGACCCCUAUUGAUUUUGGGGUCACUCUGUCAAAGGUCAAGGUCACAGGGGCCUGAACAUUGAAAACCAUUUCCGAUCAAUAACUAGAGAACCACUUGACCCAGAAUGUUGAAACUUCAUAGGAUGAUUGGCCAUGAAGAGUAGAUGACCCCUAUUGAUUUUGGGGUCACUCCGUCAAAGGUCAAGGUCACAGGGGCCUGAACAUUGAAAACCAUUUCCGAUCAAUAACUAGAGAACCACUUGACCCAGAAUGUUGAAACUUCAUAGGAUGAUUGUACAUGCAAAGUAGAUGACCCCUAUCGAUUUUGGGGUCACUCCAUUUAAGGUCAAGGUCACAUGAGCCUGAACAUUGAAAACCAUUUCCGGUCAGUAACUUGAGAACCACUUGACCCAGAAUGUUGAAACUUAAUAGGAUGAUUGCUCAUGCAGAGUAGAUGACCCCUAACAAUUUUGGGGUCACUCUGUGAAAGGUCAAGGUCACAGGGGCCUGAACAUUGAAAACCAUUUCCGGUCAGUAACUUGAGAACCACUUGACCCAGAAUGAUGAAACUUCAUAGGAUGAUUGGUCAUGCAGAGUAGAUGACCCCUAACGAUUUUAGGGUGACUCUGUUAAAGGUCAAGGCCACAGGGGCCUGAACAUGGAAAACCAUUUCCAAUCAAUAACUUGAGAACCUCUCGACCCAGAAUGUUGAAACUUCAUAGGAUGAUUGUUCAUGCAGAGUAAAUGACCCCUAAUGUUUUUGGGGUCACUCCGUUAAAGGUCAAGGUCACAGAGGCCUGAACAUUGAUAACCAGUUCAUAUCAAUAACUUCAGAACCACUUGACCCGGAAUGUUGAAACUUCAUAGGAUGGUUGAACAUGCAGAGUAGAUGACCCCUAUUGAUUUUGGGGUCAGUCUAUCAAAGGUCAAGGUCACAGUGGCCUGUUCAUGUAAAAUCAUUUUUUGGAAAUAACUUGAGAACCACUUGACCUACAAUGUUGAAACUUAAUAGGAUGUUUGGACAUGCAGAGUAGAUGACCCCUACUUAUUUUGAGGUCACUUGAUGAAAGGUCAAGGUCACAGGAGCCUGAACAGUGACUUGAGAACCACUAGGCCAAGAGUGUUGAAAUUUAGCAGGAUGACUGGACAUGCCAAGUAGAUGAUCCCUAUUGCAGCCAACCAUCAGUGUCUCUUUGACUUUCGCUCCUGACCCCUAUUAACUUCUUGCCUAUAGGACUUUGCAUUGGGGGAGACAUGCGCUUUUUUACAAAAGCAUUUUCUAGUUUUCUUUUGAAUUACUUCCCUUUUACGUUACUAUAAAUAGCCUUUUCUGUGGUACAGCAUGGAUGGUACCUCCAAUUUUUAGGUGUUUUUUGACAUAUCUAUACCUUGUAAGAAUUUUUUUCUUCUUUUUGGUUAAAUUUCUUCCCUUUGUUGUUCCUGUCCUUUGGAUUUAGAUAUUUUUUUUGAGGACCUUCUUGUCUCAAGUGCAGUGAUAACAGGUGAGCGAUAUAGGGCCAUCAUGGCCCUCUUGUUGUUGGCAGUUAGCAAAUGACUGUCUGUAUGUAUUACUUGCAAUAUUCAAACAUAUCUGGUCAUAUUUCAGCAUAAUAGUAAUCAGUUAAUAUUUUGUAAAAGUUUUGGAAAUGUUAAAUAAAAACAUAAACAUUU